CCGCAGUUGCCAAACAGCCUUUUGAAAGUAUAUAAGGCGAGGCCAUCGCAGCUCCGGCACAGUCAUCUCUUGCAUUCAUUCCUGCAACAUCGUAAUCAUGGUUUCUCGCGUCGUGUUGGUCGUGCUGGCGGUGGUCGUCCUAGCGGCCGCAGCAGUGGCUCUCCCUGACCCCACGAAACGGCACUUGGGAUUCGGCUUGCACGGAGGAUACGGAGGAUACGGCCUCGGAGGAUUUGGCUUGGGAGGCUACGGAGGCUACGGAGGCUAUGGCUAUGGAUCCCACUAUCCUUAUUACGGAUCCUACUACGGAUAGGUUGUCAUGUAACAUGUAAACACUGUUGCAUCUCUCACCUCUGGCUCCGAACAAGUUAAUUCCAACUUCUUUCAAAAAUCGUCAAGGAUUUGAAUGAAUACGACAUAAACUGAUAUUUAUUUAAUAUACUUUAUACUGCGAGAUAUAAUGUCAUUCUUUAUAAUAAAACUUACUUAUUAAA